rnacentral:rRNA from 1 species
AUACAGAGGGUGCGAGCGUUAAUCGGAAUUACUGGGCGUAAAGCGUGCGUAGGCGGUUUGAUCAGUCGGAUGUGAAAUCCCCGGGCUCAACCUGGGAAUUGCAUACGAAACUGUCAAGCUAGAGUAUGGUAGAGGUGAGUGGAAUUCCUGGUGUAGCGGUGAAAUGCGUAGAUAUCAGGAGGAACAUCAGUGGCGAAGGCGACUCACUGGACUAAUACUGACGCUGAGGUGCGAAAGCGUGGGGAGCAAAUAGGAUUAGAAACCCCAGUAGUCC